rnacentral:rRNA from 1 species
AUAGAAGGAUGGCUUUCAGCUAUCACUAGCAGAUGGACCCGCGGCGCAUUAGCUAGUUGGUGAGGUAACGGCUCACCAAGGCGACGAUGCGUAGCCGACCUGAGAGGGUGAUCGGCCACACUGGGACUGAGACACGGCCCAGACUCCUACGGGAGGCAGCAGUAGGGAAUCUUCCGCAAUGGACGAAAGUCUGACGGAGCAACGCCGCGUGAGUGAUGAAGGUUUUCGGAUCGUAAAACUCUGUUGUUAGGGAAGAACAAGUACCGUUCGAAUAGGGCGGUACCUUGACGGUACCUAACCAGAAAGCCACGGCUAACUACGUGCCAGCAGCCGCGGUAAUACGUAGGUGGCAAGCGUUGUCCGGAAUUAUUGGGCGUAAAGCGCGCGCAGGCGGUUUCUUAAGUCUGAUGUGAAAGCCCCCGGCUCAACCGGGGAGGGUCAUUGGAAACUGGGGAACUUGAGUGCAGAAGAGGAGAGUGGAAUUCCACGUGUAGCGGUGAAAUGCGUAGAGAUGUGGAGGAACACCAGUGGCGAAGGCGACUCUCUGGUCUGUAACUGACGCUGAGGCGCGAAAGCGUGGGGAGCGAACAGGAUUAGAUACCCUGGUAGUCCACGCCGUAAACGAUGAGUGCUAAGUGUUAGAGGGUUUCCGCCCUUUAGUGCUGCAGCAAACGCAUAAGC